rnacentral:rRNA from 1 species
ACUCCUGCGGGAGGCAGCAGUGGGGAAUUUUGGACAAUGGGCGAAAGCCUGAUCCAGCCAUGCCGCGUGCAUGAUGAAGGCCUUCGGGUUGUAAACUGCUUUUGUACGGAACGAAACGGCCUUUUCUAAUAAAGAGGGCUAAUGACGGUACCGUAAGAAUAAGCACCGGCUAACUACGUGCCAGCAGCCGCGGUAAUACGUAGGGUGCAAGCGUUAAUCGGAAUUACUGGGCGUAAAGCGUGCGCAGGCGGUUAUGUAAGACAGUUGUGAAAUCCCCGGGCUCAACCUGGGAACUGCAUCUGUGACUGCAUAGCUAGAGUACGGUAGAGGGGGAUGGAAUUCCGCGUGUAGCAGUGAAAUGCGUAGAUAUGCGGAGGAACACCGAUGGCGAAGGCAAUCCCCUGGACCUGUACUGACGCUCAUGCACGAAAGCGUGGGGAGCAAACAGGAUUAGAAACCCGGGUAGUCCCAUGA